rnacentral:lncRNA from 1 species
UCUUCAUAUAAAUACCAGUGAAAUGAAAUGAAAUUGUGUAUGGUAGUAGAUAGAGCAGGGUUUCCAAAGAAUCCCUAUUUUUAGUUUCUACAUAAAAGAAAAUCUUCCUAAACAAUCACUUCUACAUAAUUAUAUUAUUCUGAAUAAAAAUACUUAAAUUGAUCACCAAAACCAUUAAACAAAUUUGCAUAAAGUAUAAAAUAAUAUAAGUAAAAAAAUAAUUUAGAACAAAAUAUUAAAAAAACCCCUCAAAUUCCAAUCCAUCUGCAACCGUCAACAUUAUCCUUUCCAAGCUAUGGCAAAUUUUGUUUCAAAAUCAACAUUUAAAAAUGAGCAAAAAUCUUUGCAAAAGGCAUAAAAAUGAAAAUAUAUCAAUUAAUUACAGCAUCUUGUAUUAUAAUACUCUUCUUCGGUAAAUUAAUCAAUAAUGUCCGUCUACUUUUGUUAAAUGUGGGUAUAACUCUUUGAAAGUCUAGAUAAUAUGUUCAAGUCCCUUUCAGAAGUUAGAAGCCAGGUUCAUUGGUGGGUCUAGGGGAUGUUUAAGGGUUAGAACCCAACCUUUUUUUUCUAAAAAAGUUAUGGGAAAGUGUCAUGGAGUUCAGGGUUUGGAACCGAGCUUUGGGUUAAAGGCUGUCUUUUGUCAUAUCUUAACAUGUAUUUUUCUUUGUUUACUUACAAAUUGUUAAAUCUACUUACUACUUGUAAGGGUGAUGGACCUUUUAAGGUAAUUUAGGUUUGGCCCCUUUAAUUUGUGGACAAUCGAAAACAGUCAAAUAUAACAGGGGGAUUUCAGAAAUUUGGGAUUUAAUUAUAUUGUGAGAUGAAAACAGAUACACUUUUUUCACAAAAAAAUCAUAAAUUGACAUUUAAAUUCAGGAGGAGACUGUCUCCUACCGUCUACUUUAGUAGAUAGGAUACAUUUAGUGCAUAAUACAUUGUAUAGGCGCAAAUUUUGCAUGGCUAUUAUGGUAUAGGGUUUACAAUUGAUUUGGUUUAUUUUGGAUGGAGUCUUGUUGUCAUUUUCCAAAUAUAUACGUUUAUUCCUAUCUAAAUCAGAAAUUAUUAGAUAUUUUGGAAUGUAAUCAGAAAAUGUUUAAUUAAUAUGCCUAGUAAUAACACAAACAAACGCUCCAUAGAGAAACAAGUGAUAUAUGAGUAUUUAAAGGUGAAUCGCAUCAAUACUGAGAUAGCACUAGAUGUUUCAUAGUAAAAGUAUUCAAAAUAAGCCAACACCAGGAACUAUUAAAUUAUUAUUCCAUUAAAAGUAUUAUGCCAUUAACAAGCACUUUGGAUGAAAUUAAGAAGUUACUAAAUAUCAUAAAAUGGGACUUUCUCAUAAACUACACAAAAAUAUAUAAGUGUCUAUAAAUGAAUAUAUCCUAGAAGAUUUACCAUAACAAAAGUCAUGUAAGAAUAAAAUGGUUGGUUGAUACAUAUGAAAUUUAGGAAAUUACCUUUCAUGAAGAAUGUAUGGUAUGAAUCAUAUUUUAGAUAUUAUACGUUUCAGAGUUACGUGUGAAAUGCAUUUUUAUUUAACUAGUACAUAUUUUUUAAAGGGCCACCUAAAGCCAGCCUCUGGAGGCAGGAUUUAUUGAUGUGUUGAAGACCCAAUGGUGAUGUUGGGCUGCUUUCUGCUCUAUGACACAUUCCCUAUUUCUAUUCUCAAGUUUAACCUCCUACUGCACUGUAUUUUGUCAAAGUAGGAUGCAGGAAUGUGUCCCCAAACUUUUUCAUCAGCCCUGAUAAUUAUACAACCUUACUUUUAUUGUUACCUUUUCUUACUGUGAUUUUUUUUAUUUUUGUUUUACACUUAUUUUAAGUAAUUCUAUAAGGAAAGAUUGUAGUAUUAACAAUAAACAAGAAUGUGUCCUCAGUACACGAAUGCCCCACUCGCACUAUCAUUUUCUAUGUUCAGUGGACCGUGAAAUUGGGGUAAAAUCUCUAAUUUUGCAUUAAAAUUAGAAAGAUCAUAUCAUAGGGAACA